GUGCCAGCAGCCGCGGUAAUACAGAGGGUGCAAGCGUUAAUCGGAAUUAUUGGGCGUAAAGGGCGCGUAGGUGGCAACACAAGUCUGAUGUGAAAUCCCUGGGCUUAACCUGGGAACUGCGUUGGAAACGGUGUGGCUAGAGUUGGACAGAGGGCAGUGGAAUUUCCGGUGUAGCGGUGAAAUGCGUAGAGAUCGGAAAGAACACCAGUGGCGAAGGCGACUGCCUGGGUCCAAACUGACACUGAGGCGCGAAAGCGUGGGGAGCAAACAGGAUUAGAUACCCCGGUAGUCC
rnacentral:rRNA from 1 species